GUGACCAAACCGCUUUAUGAUUUCAUCUAAGAUCCACCAUUGAUUUUUGGAUUCAAGCUUACAGUGUGAUAAUAAAGACCGCAGACGGAUUGAAGUUUUGAUUGAAGCUGGAUGUACCAAUCUUUCUUUUAAGGUUGAUUCUAGGCAAUAUUUGAAAAAUGGUUGCAUUUGCUUGCAUAUCAGAAACCAAAAAGAGGAUUAUUUUUUAAGGGAGAUUAUGUUCUGUCGGUGUCGGAUUUGCUCCAACCUGCAAUGCAACUGAGAUCUGUGUUAACCAAAUUCUAAAGAUCCACAGCUAAUUCAGGGAAUUACUUUAGCUAUGUGCGUUUUGAUGAAAAAGCAUGGCAUUUGGUGGAUGACUCUAAAGUAAAGUAUCAAUGAAAGUUUCUUCCUAUAGUAUAGCUUUCCUGUUAUACAUAUUUAUAUAGGUCGUGUUUGAAAAUAAAAUGAGUCAUUAUAUGAUUCAUUCAUUGGCUCUUACAUUUUUAAUUAGAGAAAGUGAUUUUUGAAAAGUUGUAAGUUGUAUACAUACUUUAAAUUUGCAAAUGUAAUUUACUACUAUAAAUUCCAUCUUUUAUUUUUUUUCUUUCAAAAGUUUCAGGUGAUGGCUGAUAGGGAGAAGAAAUUAUUGAUUCUAUUUUUUUCUUUGGCUAUUGUUUCAAUCUUUAAAGAUAUUCCUGUCAGAUUAUUACUACUGGGUUAUGAUAGCCAACAACCAAUUCUUAGGCAAUCUCUUUGGCAAAUAUAUAUCAGUUUGAGUUUACAGAUUUAUAGAGUAGACUAAUCAUUGAGGCAUGGGGCAGCUGGCUGCAGUGUGCUGUUGUGGGAGUUCAGAGGAAGGAUC